rnacentral:lncRNA from 1 species
UGUGUAGCUGGUGUAGAUGAGUCAGGCGCAGGACAGCAGAUAUAAGUAAUGUACGCAAUUUUACUCAACAGUAAUCACAAUACACGUCAAAUAAAUCCAAGGCCACAAUAACGGACCACAGUACAAUAAACAAUCACUCACAAACAAACAUGGGGGAACAGAGGGUUAAAUAAUGAACAAGUAAUUGGGGGAUUGGAACCAGGUGUGUAAGACAAGGACAAAACAAAUGGAAAAUGAAAAGUGGGCCGGUGACGUCGACCGCUGAACGUCGCCUGAACAAGGAGAGGGACCGACUUCGGCAGAAGUCAUGACACCUGGUAACCGAGCAGGAUGGGGAGAAAGCACCAGGGGCCCCCGAUCGUUUUACAGCAGUUUAACCACAGGGACCUGGUAACCCACCUAUAGAAUUGAUUGGGGAAAGAACUUAUCCAGCCCCAGGGAGAACAGUGGACAGUGUGUAUCUCUCACCCAGUCAGUCAACCAGCCCCAGGGAGAACAGUGGACAGUGUGUAUCUCUCACCCAGUCAGUCACCCAGCCCCAGGGAGAACAGGGGACAGUGUGUAUCUCUCACCCAGUCAGUCACCCAGCCCCAGGGAGAACAGUGGACAGUGUGUAUCUCUCACCCAGUCAGUCACCCAGCCCCAGGGAGAACAGUGGACAGUGUGUAUCUCACCCAGUCAGUCACCCAGCCCCAGGGAGAACAGUGGACAGUGUGUAUCUCACCCAGUCAGUCACCCAGCUCCAGGUCUCAGUUAGCCAUCCACACACCACAGGCCCAGUGAGCCCCAAAAAAGGGGGACAGAGCAGGUAACCCCCACUCGAGGCACCCCUGUCUGGGCCUCACUCCUGGGCUAAACGUAUGGGUUCUGAGGUCUGUUUACUUCAGAUUAAACAAAAACAAAUAAAACGUGUCAUUUUCUGUCCUUUGCCGUUUUUCCUUUUCCAUGUUAUACUCAAAAUCCAAUGACCAAAAGAUACACUAACCAGGUCAAUCAUGAUAAUGACUUCAACAGAGGAAUGGUAUUACAGGAAACAGAGGAGAGGAGAUAGGAAGAGAAGGAGGGAGGAGAGGAGAGGGGACAGGGAGAAUGGAGAAAGUAGAGGGAGGAGAGGAGAGAAAGGAGAGAGGGAUAGAAGAGAGAGGAUGUUUUGGAUGAUGAACCGU